GCCUACGGGGGGCAGCAGUAGGGAAUCUUCCACAAUGGGCGAAAGCCUGAUGGAGCAACGCCGCGUGGGUGAAGAAGGUCUUCGGAUCGUAAAACCCUGUUGUUAGAGAAGAAAGUGCGUGAGAGUAACUGUUCACGUUUCGACGGUAUCUAACCAGAAAGCCACGGCUAACUACGUGCCAGCAGCCGCGGUAAUACGUAGGUGGCAAACGUUAUCCGGAUUUAUUGGGCGUAAAGGGAACGCAGGCGGUCUUUUAAGUCUGAUGUGAAAGCCUUCGGCUUAACCGGAGUAGUGCAUUGGAAACU
rnacentral:rRNA from 1 species